rnacentral:rRNA from 1 species
UCAGUACGGUCGGAAAUCGUACGUAGAGUGUAAAGGCAAAAGAGAGCUUGAUUGCAAGACAUACAGGUCGAGCAAGGAUGAAAAUCGGACUUAGUGAUCCGGUGGUUCUGCGUGGAAGGGCCAUCGCUCAACGGAUAAAAGCUACCCUGGGGAUAACAGGCUUAUCUCCCCCAAGAGUCCACAUCGACGGGGAGGUUUGGCACCUCGAUGUCGGCUCAUCACAUCCUGGGGCUGUAGUAGGUCCCAAGGGUUGGGCUGUUCGCCCAUUAAAGUGGUACGCGAGCUGGGUUCAGAACGUCGUGAGACAGUUCGGUCCCUAUCCGUCGCAGGCGUAGGAAAUUUGAGAAGACCUGUCCUUAGUACGAGAGGACCGGGAUGGACGUACCUCUGGUGUACCAGUUGUUCUGCCAAGGGCAUGGCUGGGUAGCUAUGUACGGAAUGGAUAAGCGCUGAAAGCAUCUAAGCGCGAAGCCAACUUCAAGAUAAGAUUUCCCACCGCAGGGGUAAGACCCCAGAAAGACUAUCUGGUUGAUAGGUCGAAGGUGUAAGUGCAGCAAUGUAUUUAGCUUAUCGAUACUAAUAGGUCGAGGACUUGACCAAU